rnacentral:tRNA from 1 species
GGCUCGUUGGUCUAGAGGUAUGACUCUUGCUUUGGGUGCGAGAGGUCUCGGGUUCAUAUCCUGGAUUAGCCCA